rnacentral:rRNA from 1 species
UACGUAGGGUCCGAGCGUUGUCCGGAAUUACUGGGCGUAAAGAGCUCGUAGGUGGUUUGUCGCGUUGUUCGUGAAAACUCACAGCUUAACUGUGGGCGUGCGGGCGAUACGGGCAGACUUGAGUACUGCAGGGGAGACUGGAAUUCCUGGUGUAGCGGUGGAAUGCGCAGAUAUCAGGAGGAACACCGGUGGCGAAGGCGGGUCUCUGGGCAGUAACUGACGCCGAGGAGCGAAAGCGUGGGGAGCGAACAGG